GAUGAACGCUGGCGGCGUGCCUAAUACAUGCAAGUCGAGCGAAUGGAUUAAGAGCUUGCUCUUAUGAAGUUAGCGGCGGACGGGUGAGUAACACGUGGGUAACCUGCCCAUAAGACUGGGAUAACUCCGGGAAACCGGGGCUAAUACCGGAUAACAUUUUGAACCGCAUGGUUCGAAAUUGAAAGGCGGCUUCGGCUGUCACCUAUGGAUGGACCCGCGUCGCAUUAGCUAGUUGGUGAGGUAACGGCUCACCAAGGCAACGAUGCGUAGCCGACCGGAGAGGGUGAUCGGCCACACUGGGACUGGGACACGGCCCAGACUCCUACGGGAGGCAGCAGUAGGGAAUCUUCCGCAAUGGACGAAAGUCUGACGGAGCAACGCCGCGUGAGUGAUGAAGGCUUUCGGGUCGUAAAACUCUGUUGUUAGGGAAGAACAAGUGCUAGUUGAAUAAGCUGGCACCUUGACGGUACCUAACCAGAAAGCCACGGCUAACUACGUGCCAGCCGCCGCCGUAA
rnacentral:rRNA from 1 species